rnacentral:rRNA from 1 species
GAACGAACGCUGGCGGCAGGCUUAACACAUGCAAGUCGAGCGCCCCGCAAGGGGAGCGGCCGACGGGUGAGUAACGCGUGGGAACGUACCUUUUGGUUCGGAACAACUCCGGGAAACUGGAGCUAAUACCGGAUAAGCCCUAACGGGGAAAGAUUUAUCGCCGAAAGAUCGGCCCGCGUCUGAUUAGCUAGUUGGUGAGGUAACGGCUCACCAAGGCGACGAUCAGUAGCUGGUCUGAGAGGAUGAUCAGCCACACUGGGACUGAGACACGGCCCAGACUCCUACGGGAGGCAGCAGUGGGGAGUAUUGGACAAUGGGCGCAAGCCUGAUCCAGCCAUGCCGCGUGAGUGAUGAAGGCCUUAGGGUUGUAAAGCUCUUUUGUCCGGGAAGAUAAUGACUGUACCGGAAGAAUAAGCCCCGGCUAACUUCGUG